rnacentral:rRNA from 1 species
GGCUAAUACCGGAUAGAGCAUCGAUCGCUGGAAUGCAUGAUGCUCGAAAACCGAGGUGCCAAAGGAUAGGUCUGCGGCCGAUUAGGUUGUUGUUGAUGUAACGGAUCAACAAGCCUCCGAUCGGUAUGGGUUGUGAGAGCAAUAGCCCAGAGAUGGGUUCUGAGAGAAGAACCCAGGUCCUACGGGACGCAUCAGGCGCGAAAACUUUACAAUGUGCGAAAGCACGAUAAGGGAACUCUGAGUGCCUCCUAAGGAGGCUGUUCAGGUGUCUAAAAAGCAUCUGAAGGAAGGGCUGGGUAAGACCGGUGCCAGCCGCCGCGGUAACACCGGCAGCCCAAGUGGUGGCCACUUUUACUGGGUCUAAAGCGUUCGUAGCCGGCCAGGUAAGUUCCUUGGGAAAUUUGACCGCUUAACGGUCAAGCUUUCAGGGAAUACUGCGUGGCUUGAGACCGGGAGAGGUCAGAGGUACCUCAAGGGUAGGGGUGAAAUCCGUUAAUCCUUGGGGGACCACCGGUAGCGAAGGCGUCUGACCAGAGCGGAUCCGACGGUCAGGAACGAAGGCUAGGGUAGCGAACCGGAUUAGAUACCCGGGUAGUCCUAGCUGUAAACGAUGCGGGCUAGGUGUUGGCAUUACUGCGAGUGAUGCCAGUGCCGAAGGGAAGCCGUUAAGCCCGCCAUCUGGGGAGUACGGUCGCAAGGCUGAAACUUAAAGGAAUUGGCGGGGGAGCACUACAACGGGUGG